GACGAACGCUGGCGGCGUGCUUAACACAUGCAAGUCGAGCGGUAAGGCCCUUUCGGGGGUACACGAGCGGCGAACGGGUGAGUAACACGUGGGUGACCUGCCCUCAGCUCCGGGAUAAGCCUGGGAAACCGGGUCUAAUACUGGAUAUGACUCCAUGACGCAUGUUGUGGGGUGGAAAGCCUUGUGCGGCUGAGGAUGGGCCCGCGGCCUAUCAGCUUGUUGGUGGGGUGAUGGCCUACCAAGGCGACGACGGGUAGCCGGCCUGAGAGGGCGACCGGCCACACUGGGACUGAGACACGGCCCAGACUCCUACGGGAGGCAGCAGUGGGGAAUCUUGCGCAAUGGGCGAAAGCCUGACGCAGCGACGCCGCGUGAGGGAUGAC
rnacentral:rRNA from 1 species